GUGUGUGUGUGUGUGCGCGCGUGCUGGGAAGGACAGUUUCCUGAGCAUCCUUGUCAGUGAGCUGUGGGUGUGUAUGCCCGCAUGCUGGGAAGGACACAGGUUCCUGAGCAUCCUUGUCACUGAGCUGUGUGUGUGUGUGUGCUGGGAGGGAUACAGGUUCCUGAGCAUCCUUGUCACGGAGGUGUGUGUGUGUGUGUGCAUGUGCUGGGAGGGACACAGGUUCCUGAGCAUCCUUGUUGCUGAGGGGUAUGUGUGUGUGCUAGUGUGUGAGAUGAGUACAAUUGUGCAGUAGUUUGAACAUUCUUUGGCAUUGCCUUUCUUUGGGAUUGGAAUGAAAGCUGACCUUUUCCAGUCCUGUGACCUCUGCUGAGUGUUCCAGAUUUGCUGGCAUAUUGAGUGCAGUACUUUCACGGCAUCAUCUUUUAGGAUUUGAAAUAGCUCAACUGAAAUUCUAUCACCUUCACUAGCUUUGUUCGUAGUAAUGCUUCCUAAGGCCCACUUGACUUCCCAUUCCAGGAUGUCUGGCUCUAGCUGAGUGAUCACACCAUCUUGGUUAUCUGGGUUAUGAAGAUCUUUUUGUACAGUUCUUCUGUGUAUUCUUGCCACCUCUUCUUAAUAUCUUCUGCUUCUGUCAGAUCCAUACCAUUUCUGUCCUUUAUUGUGCUCAUUUUUGCAUGAAAUGUUCCCUUGGUAUCUCUAAUUUUCUUGAAGAGAUCUCUAGUCUUUCCCAUUCUGUCGUUUUCUUCUAUUGCUUUGCACUAAUCACUGAGGAAGGCUUUCUUAUAUCUCCUUACUAUUCUUUGGAACUCUGCAUUCAGAUGGGUAUAUCUUUCCUUUUCUCCUUUGCCUUUAGCUUCUCUUCUUUUCAAAGCUAUUUGUAAACCCUCGUCACACAACUAUUUUGCCUUUUUG
ensembl:lncRNA